UUAUAUUCUCCACAGGGGGGGAUGAGAACCCCCGACCGGGGUUCGACAACUGGCGCAGCCAGUUGGACAGACCGCGCGCGCAGUAAGCGGGCUGCCCCGCAGGGGCGAGCGAAGCGAGUCAAUCCCCCCCUCACCGCCA
rnacentral:sRNA from 1 species